AUCUUUUUUUUUUAAUUAUUAGAGACUUGUGUAUAUACCCCUUGACAUAUGCUUUGUCGCAUGCUACUCAUGCUGCAACUGAGCUACAAACGUGGUUCUUCCCAUGCUUAAACCUUGAAGACAUUUCAUUUCUGAACUCAUUCGAGAUUCGACCAUAGAUAUGCUUGAGUGGAUAGGAAAUUCACGCGGAUUCAAAUGAAGUACCCUCUAUGUUAGUUGCAUUUCUAAGUUACAAGGAAUGUAAUUGUUGUAUAUGGUUUAACUAACUGUUGGUGUAAAAAGAUAGCUUACUCCUUUCCCUUAUGGUUCUCCUUGUGUAUUUGGAACCUCGAAGAUAUUUCAUUUCUGAACUCAAUUCACCCAUAGAUAUGCUUAUGAGUGGAGGGGUGUGUAUUGAGAAAUAUAGAACAGAACUGUAUAAUGUAUAAAUGCAUUUGGAUUUACAGAUAGCCUGAUUAUAUAUUUA